CUCUGACACCAAAUUAGCAAUAGUGACCCAUAACAUAACAUAGUCAUAGGCUUUGUUUGAUAUUCAUCAGUCUUAGUGUUGUGACUAAUUAAUGGCAACAGUGCAAUUCAUUUUCGCUAAUAGUGGUUCGUGAGAAGCUAGCUACGCAAACAAUUCUUCCUUUCAAGUGCUAUUUUCUCUUUCUCUCUUGUCAUAUUAUAUAUAAUUAUUUUGAACAAUAUCUUCAUAUGAUAUCUUGUGUGCCCGUGAUAAUUUUAUUGCAAUAUUAAUUCUUAAUUUUUAUUAGUCAAGAGAAUCAAAUUUGUGACUUUUUUCUUGUUUCAUUUCCUCUGACCAAUUUAAUUCAUCUUCUAUUAUGCUUCAUGGUUGCUCCGUGUGCGUAAGUAUAUUUGUUUUUAAUUUCAUGCAGAGUAAGAUGAUAUCAAAAGGGAAACCCAUGCUGGAAGAAAGUAUGAUGACCCCGUAUUGCAACUCUGACCCAAGCUGUUUCAAAGUGGCCGUUUUAGGUUACUCUUCAGGACCAAAUUCACUUCAGGUGGCGUACGAUAUUAUUGAUGACAAAAGUCGCUGCUUUAACCACGAGCCACCCACAUCCCAAAUUUACCUCAACGAUCAAUUUCAAAACGAUUUCAACAACUAGAGGAGGGAGAGAAGUUUAGUCCAUGUUUCAUCAACGCAACGCCCGGAAGCUUUUAUGGGAGACUCUUCCCUAGCAAUUCCACCAGUCUUCAUUGGCUCUCUCAGGCUCCAAAGGGGUUGGCUAAGGGAACAUGAUUAGUUAACAUAGGAAACAUUUACUUCACAAACACGAGCCCAUCCGAAGUGUACCAAGCAUACCUUGACCAGUUUAGUCCAUAUUUCAAUCUGUUUCUAAAAUCACGCGCGGAGGAAUUAUUGCGUGGUGGUGGCAUGGUUCUAAGAUUUGUUGGUAGAGAUGAAACUUUUGACAUAAUAACUCCUUGGGGGUUAAUUGGUUUGGUUCUCAUUGACAUGGUUUCAGAGGUACACGAGUCAAGCUAAGUUGGAGUGUGUUAAUAUGCCAAGAUAUGGUCUUACUGCUAAGAAAGUUAAGCAAUUGAUUGGUGCAGAAGGGUCUUUCACUCUUGAGAAGUUGGAGACAUUCAAGUCGCGUUGGGAUGACGGUUUGAAGGAGAAUGGUAAUGGUGAUUUCGUAUUAGAUACUAAUGUCAGAGCCAAAUUCAUCGCCAAAUAUGUGAGAGCUACUACUGAACCUUUUAUGACGGCACGGUUUGGAGAAGGAAUAAUUGAUGAAUUAUUUCCUAAAUACAGAAACAAGGUUGCUGAACUGUUGGAAGAAGUGAUAUUAGAGCAUGCUUACCUGGUCAUGUUUAUGACAAAAAAAUGAUACAAAUCACUCAAGUUAAAGAAUUGUUUGUAUUUUUUCUUCUAAAUAUGUUAAUCUGGGUUAAAGAUCUCUAAUGGAGGUGCUUAACUUGUUUGUGCAUAAAGAUCUGAUGCCUAAUGAGACCGAUGCAUUGGAAAGAGUUUUUAAUGAGUGUGAAUGAAGCACCAAGUGCUCAUAUCAAGUUUUUCUUGCUUUGUUACUCAGGGAAUGAAAUUUAAGCUUAGUAAGAUUCAGCCCACAUUUUUACGCUCAACAUACAUAUAUCAUAGUCUUUCAAGCAUUGUUUUUGCUCA